GUCCAUGUGAAAAUACAGGUUGAGGUAAAUACAAUCUAAAAAAAUCAAGAGUUUAACCUUGAGCUCUAUUUAUAGUCAUAGCAAAGCAUACACGAGCUGGGAAUUGAGUUCUUUCAAAUCGAGUUGGACUUAUAUUAUUUUCAAAAGGCAGAAAUGGUAUACACGAUAGAAAACACUUUUGUUUUUAUAUUGUCCAACAGCAACUUCAGCAUCAAUUAUGUUCCGAUCAAAUCUUUUACAAAUAAGCCUAUUUCGAUUGCACAAACCUUCAGAUGGAUUUAUGUUCCACAAUAAAAUAAUAGGGCAAUUUUUUUUUCUCAAAAAUAUUAAUUCAUGUGGUGGAAUACCAUUAGGGGUUAAAGUAUUGAAGAAAUCUUCAUCAAAUGAUUGUGCACUAGUAUUUAAUGCUUCAUUAAAACUAUAAUAUAUAAUAGAAUCACCAAGGAACUGUUCUAUUAACAUAGCAUUUAUAAAAUCAACAUUAUCAUUUUUUGGACUUAAUAUGAUUCUAUUAAUCAUAGUUUCAAUAUUAUUCGGGUAAUUAUUUAAUUCAGGAAACACAACACUUGUUUAUUAUCAUGAGCAAUAAUCAUUUCAUUUGGAAGUUUAAUCAUAUUGCAUGAAUGUAAAGGCUCAGUUCCAUUUCCAAUUCGUAGUAAAUAUUCUGAAAAAGGCAAAUCGAAUUGUGCUCUCAUAUUUGCAACUAAUUUUAUUUUUUUAAUAAAUGGCCAUAAAUAUGAAUUAACAAAUGUUGCAUCAAUAAUAUCAUUUUUUUAACCUUUGGGAAUGAUGGGUAGUAUUUGACGGAAAUCACCUCCCAGUACUACAACUUUUCUUCCAAAUGGCAAUUUAACUUCUGUUAUAUCUUGUAACAUUUCGUUCAACGAUUCAAUAACUGCAUUAUUUAGCAUAGGAGCUUUAUCUCAUAUUAUUAAUUGUGUCAAUCUGAAUAAUUCAACCAAAGAUGAUUGCUUACUAACCGAAGUUGUUAAUUUACUAUUAACCUGAAGUGGGAGCUUAAAUCUUGAGUGAGCAGUUCUACCUCUAGGAAGCAAUCAUGCUGCUCCCCCAGAAGAUGCCGUAGCUAAAGUUACCAUUCCUUUAGAUCUCACAGCUGGAAGUAAAGAGCGAUAUAAAAAGAUUUUCCAGUUCCUCCAGGACCAUCAAUAAAAUAUACUCCAUUGUUUCUUUUGAAGACAUCAUUCAGAAUCAUAUUAUAUGCUUUUCUUUGUUCUAAAUUUAACUUUGUUUUAGUUAGAAAAUCUUCAUCCGAAACUAUUAUCUGUAAUUCAUCAGUAAUACUUUUUGUGAGACAAUAGUCUUCUUCCAACAACAUAUGAUGAUGCACAAUUUGGAAAUCAUUCACAGUUUUACUUGAAAGUUGUAAUAUUUCAUUUAAAUAAUUUAAGACCCUUAAUUCAGAUGCUUUUGCAUUUAUACCUUCUUGUACAUAGUCUUCUAUCAUAUAGUUCUUAAAAUUAUUCCAUAAUUUUUUGGGAUCAUGUGGAUCACACAAUGUUAAAAUUGUAGCGAAUAAUUCACGCAAUGUUAUUGGCAUUUGUUAUUGAGAAGCUUCUUGCAAACAUAUUUCACAAUCAGUAUUACAAUUAAGCAAACCACGUAAUAAUGCAGCUUCAAAUGUCGAAGCAUGAAUUCCAUUAACACUUUUCAAAAUUUCAUAAGAAAUGGCUCCCUAAACAUGGUUUAGCAAUUUUCUUAGAUAGUAUCUUUCUCCUUCUAUAAUAUUUACAGAAACAAUUUAUCCUAUUGAGAAGGUUUUACUUUUUCUUUCAGUCCAGGUUCAACAUUGUGAAUUUCACACAAAAUGUUAUGGAAAUUCUCUGUAUAACAAAGUUUUCGCUUUUGAAUUACUAAUACUCGUACGAAAGUAUUUUGUUAACAUUGAUUUUUUGUAAUAAUCAUUUUUCACAAUUUCUUCUAAAUCAUCAAAUUCUUUGUAUGUAAUAGAUUGAUAGUUUUCUAAAUGCAAUUACG
rnacentral:lncRNA from 1 species